UUAUUGAUGUGACUGAUACUGUAUAUCUCCUGUGUACAUUAUUUUAUCUCCUGACAUGUUUUAUUGUCUCUGAAGCCACACAGAGAGAUGAGAGGAGCAGCUAUGAGUUUAACUGCAGCAGCGAGUGGAUUUGUCGUCUCCCUUCUCUCUGUGUCAGUUUCUACCUGAACAGCCAGAGGAGCAGGAUAACCUUCAGUAUGCCAGCAUUCACUUCACCAACAACCAGGCAGAUCCUCUCUACUCCAACAUCAGACCAGCUCGCUCCCUCAGACACACGGAGCAACAAGAUUUCAUGGAGUACGCUGUUGUCACAUUUAAGAGUAAUACUGCCCCGAGAUCCAGAGGUCAGGAACCUGGAGAGGAUCCAGCUGCAUUGUACAGCACAGUCAACGACCAAAACAUAUAUUGCAUUUAUGAUAAUUCUGUUUCUUUUUUAGUUCUUUCUUUUAGUUAAUAUUUUUCUUGGGAUAUGCCUCUCCAAGACUUUACAAAUGAAUUAUAUGCCCUAGAGAAACUUACUUUGUUUUUAGAAUAUGUAAAGUAUUUGACUGCAUUCACCUGUAAAUAUAAUUUGUCUGACUUUUUGUAACAUUUAGUCUUUUCAUGUAACUUUUUUUUUGAAAAAUAGGUCUUAUACUAUCAAUAAGACUGCAUCAUGUUACUUUUUUCCACACUGAUGCAGCACAACAAUUUGAACCCAUGGUGUGCAUCCAAGCGAUGCAUCAAACUGUUUCCUUCUGUUCCUGUUUAGUUUAGCAUCACUGACAGACCCUAAACUAUGACC